AGUUACGCUGAGUCGAUGCAUCCCUUCGACACUCUCAUGUCUUUGUCGUUUCCAAUUCUUCAACGUAUGUCGAUCUCCAUCUCUGUGCAAUGAAUCCUCCGAAAAUCAUUUAUAACUUUCUUUCGCCUUCCUCCCUCUAAUUUUCCAAGCAAGAGACAUGACACGAGUGGGUGCUUUUCAAAGAAAAUGUCUGGCCUCUAAAGAGAGGACGCAACAUCCGUCUUCUCAACCACACUCUCAAGUCUCACUCCGACCACCAAUUAAGGAAGACCAUCGUCGAGAAACUGAGGAAGCUGAUUGAGGAGAUAGAUGAGCACGAUGGUGACAUGGUAAAGACCCUCUCUCUCCAUGGAUAAAGUGUGUUCAAUGGGUGUAGGAGGUGUUUCCUCCUGGUGGAGAGUGCUCAGGGAUGCUUAAGACUCUGUGCAAUGUGUGAGAUAUGAUGAAAAUCUGUGCAAUGCGUGAGAAAGUUCUGGCACUCGGAGAGCGGUACAAUGGUUACUCUGUUUUGAAGGCGCUGAUGCUGAAGUGAUUUAUAAGUUCUUGGAAGUUAAUGAUAUUGGGAAGACACAUGCUUUGUACUACAUAGCUUACGCAUUGCACAUGGAGUUUAAGGGUAAGGUGAAGUAGGCUAAUGAGAUCUUCAAUCUAGGAAUCUCUAGAAAUGCAAAGCCUGUGGAGAAGUUGAAUGAUGCUCACAAGAAGUUCAUGCAGGAGCCAAAGGAGAAUGACUUACUGUCAAGAAGCUUUGGGACUAUAUUGUCUAGGGAGAUAAUAAUAAUAGUGACUCACUCUAAUUACUUUGUAAGUUUUAUUAUUAUGUUCUGUGGAUAGUGUAAAUACAAAGGUAUUGAACCAGCAACGAUCUAAAAACAGAUGUUCAAUUUCAUUGCAAGUAGUCAUGUAACUAAACUGGAAAGAUUGCACUCUUCUUGAAUGUUUAUAUCAAUUUUUACACU